GAUAAACGCUGGCGGCGUGCCUUAUGCAUGCAAGUCGAACGGGAAUGAAGACUUCGGGUUUUCAUUCUAGUGGCAAACGGGUGAGUAACGCGUAACUAACCUGUCCUUAAGUGGGGGAUAACCCUGAGAAAUUGGAGCUAAUACCCCAUGAAGCACCGAGGGUAAGGCCUCGGUGUCAAAGCCGCAAGGCGCUGAGGGACGGGGGUUGCGUCCCAUCAGGUAGUUGGUACGGUAAUGGCCUACCAAGCCUAUGACGGGGUAGCUGGUCUGAGAGGAUGUCCAGCCACACUGGGACUGAGAUACGGCACAGACUCCUAUGGGAGGCAGCAGCAAGGAAUUUUGCGCAAUGGGCGAAAGCCUGACGCAGCAACGCCGCGUGGGUGAAGAAGGCUCUCGGGUCGUAAAGCCCUUUUGUUAGGGAAGAAGUUCUGACGGUACCUAACGAAUAAGCCUCGGCUAACUACGUG
rnacentral:rRNA from 1 species